rnacentral:rRNA from 1 species
UACGUAGGGGGCAAGCGUUGUCCGGAAUCAUUGGGCGUAAAGCGCGUGUAGGCGGCCCGGUAAGUCCGCUGUGAAAGUCGGGGGCUCAACCCUCGAAUGCCGGUGGAUACUGUCGGGCUAGAGUGCGGAAGAGGCGAGUGGAAUUCCUGGUGUAGCGGUGAAAUGCGCAGAUAUCAGGAGGAACACCGAUGGCGAAGGCAGGUCUCUGGGCCACUACUGACGCUGAGAAGCGAAAGCAUGGGGAGCGAACAGG